GAAACUCACCAGGUUAACUCUGGUGUAAAUCAGUUGAGAAUGUGGCCUAAAAUGUUUUCAAAUUUCCAAUCAGGUCUCAGGUUAGAUCUAUGCUCUCUAAGUCAUGAGGUAUUAAUAUUCCCUCUAAGUAAUUUGUGAGCAAAUGAACUCACAAUACAAUAUUUUUUGUAGAUCUCAGAGUAUUCUAUUAAUUUACAGGGGUAAAUUCAGUUAGUAGAAUCCAUGAUUUUUUUUAAAAAAUCAGUUUAUUUAAACUCAUGUUACCCAUUCCUAAAAAGAGAAGCCAAUCUAGUUCUGAAUAUUUGGUGACAAUGCUGGUAAACUGCAAGGUGGGGGUUAAUUAUAGUUUUUCAUGUUUCUACAAAAAUGACUUUCACAAAGAAAUAGUUUUUCAUACCUACAGCAGAAAUUUGUCACCAUGGUAAUGUUUUGAAUUUGGAGGGGUUCUGCAGGCAAAGAUAAUGUGGCUGCUGCUUCAGGAUUUUUUAUCCAAGUUGUUGUUUUUUUCUUCUACUUUUUGAACUGCUGUGUGGUUCUAAAGCACUGGACAGUGAUCUCCAUAAAUGGACCAGUGUGAGGCCUUAGAAUUAACCUCUCUCUUUUUUCUUUUUCCCCCCUUUUUUUUCUUUCUUUCUUUUAAAGAAAAGGUGUUUUAAAUUUUGGGUAACUUCCUCCUUUAGUCGUCUGUCUCCAUGUGUCUUCAGCAGCCACUCAAACAUGACAGCAGCCCAGGGGGCACUGCAGGACUGUUUUGCUUAGGUUCUUGUGAUGUCACCACCUGUUGCCAGGGAAACAUAGAAUCUCGAACUUGGGUCCCAGCAGCUGAGCCUUGGAGCAAAUGUUUUUCAGUUAUCGGUUUUAAUAUUAAAAUGUCUUUGUCACAUUUAAGUCACCAUAUAAUUCUGACUGAUUUGGGGUCUUAAACAGGUUUCUCUCUCUCUCUCUCUCUUUCUCUCUCUCUCUCUGUGUAUGUGUGUAUAUGAAAUUUGUUGUUCAGCUUUUAAAAAACUAAAAAUAUUAAAAACAAGCAACCUCCCCCAAAACACUGUCAAUACAAUUUUUAUUACUGAGAUGUGGCUAAUUGCCACCUUGACCACAAUAUGUUGUUAAUUUAUAUUGCAUUGCACUCCUUCCUGCUACCAUCAGUCUCUCUUUAGAUUGUGAGAAGAAUAGUCUUGAGGUUAAGGCACUAGACUAGGACUCAGGAGAUUUAGGCUCAGCUAUUCUGUCAUGACCCACAGGUCCAAAUCCAGGCCUGCAGGGUAUAUGGGAGCAGCCAUGCACCAACCCUCCACUUGACAGCCAGCUGACAGCUGCUUACCUGGGACCCAUAAAGCCCAGCCCCAGUAUGAGGAUCUGCCCCGGGGUCUGAUUGGUGGAGUCCCAGAACAACUGAUUGACCUGCUGGCUCUAUUUAAACCAGCAACAGGAACCUGUCUGAACAACUGGGCUCUACCCUGCUCUGGACUGUGUGCCUCCUGCUCCUUGAUUUCCUGGCUUCCUGGCCUGGCUUGACUCCUGGCAUCUGACCUUUGAUUCCUGACCUCCAGUUUGGCUCCUGCCACUGACACUGUGGUACCCUGAUCUGGCUUGACUCUGGUUCCUGACUCAUUGUUCUGAUCUCCAAUUUCUAUCCUGCGUCUGUCCUCCCGAUAUCAUGACCCAACUCAACUCCUGUGUUACGACUGUGGACUCUGGCUCUGACUACAAGGACUGAGACUCGGGCUGGGCCCUGGGUCAGACUCCUGCUGAGAGUACGAAUCCCUGAGGAGAAGACAGUUGCUGCCUACACAUUGCUUCAGCAACCCUUGAGAAAAUGGAAGCCAAGGAUAAACAGACUCUCCUCUGUUUAAAAAAGGAGGUUCAGAAAAGAGAUGGGCAGAAGCACAAGGCACCACUGGAUUCUUGAGUCUUCUUGUUGCCUGAUGUCCCUCCAGGGGCAAGAAAUGAAGAUGAAUGAAGGACUCAAAUGCAAAUAAGAUGAUCACUCCAAGGGAUCACCACACCUUUUUUUCACAAGGCAGUCAUGGUUUUGAAGGGUCUAUUCCACAAGAUAGGCUUGUGGGAUAUUAGAAGGCCCAAAAGUUUGCUUUGGGGACUUAUGUGACUUCAUGAUGUGACCCAAAAUCAGUCCCAGGGGAGACAGUUGAGAAGGGUGGCAAUGCUGAAGAGUUCUCUAAUGGGAAGCAGUUUUUUCUGAUUCAGCAGGCUUCCCCUUCUCUUGGUGUCAUAUGCUACCCACUCCUUAGACUUUGGUUUGCACCAUGCCCUGGAAUAAAAAAGUUCUCUUGUUCUUCAGAGUUGGAACCCAGAAAUAUAUUUGUCUGCAAGGUGAUAAAUACAGGUGCUAGGUGGAUUCACAAUUACAAGUCGCUUUUAUAU